ACUCUAGCGAGACUGCCGGUAAUAAACCGGAGGAAGGUGGGAUGACGUCAAAUCAUCAUGCCCCUUAUGACCUGGGCUACACACGUGCUACAAUGGUUGGUACAACGAGUUGCGAGUCGGUGACGGCGAGCUAAUCUCUUAAAGCCAAUCUCAGUUCGGAUUGUAGGCUGCAACUCGCCUACAUGAAGUCGGAAUCGCUAGUAAUCGCGGAUCAGCACGCCGCGGUCGAAUACGUUCCCGGGCCUU
rnacentral:rRNA from 1 species